CCUACGGGUGGCAGCAGUGAGGAAUAUUGGUCAAUGGCCGGGAGGCUGAACCAGCCAAGUCGCGUGAGGGAAGACGGCCCUACGGGUUGUAAACCUCUUUUGUCAGGGAGCAAGGUGCAGGUCGGGACCUGCUGUGAGAGUACCCGAAGAAAAAGCAUCGGCUAACUCCGUGCCAGCAGCCGCGGUAAGCCGGGGGAGGCGAGCGUUCUCGGGAUUUAUUGGGUUUAAAGGGUGGGAAGGGGGAGGAACAAGUCAGCGGGAAAAUCGCGGGGCUCAACCCCGCUCCGACGUUGAGACUGUGUCCCUUGAGUGCGCGAAGGGUAGGCGGAAUGCGUGGUGUAGCGGUGAAAUGCAUAGAUAUCACGCAGAACUCCGAUCGCGAAGGCAGCCUACCGGCGCGCAACUGACGCUCAUGCACGAAAGCGUGGGUAUCGAACAGGAUUAGAUACCCCAGUAGUC
rnacentral:rRNA from 1 species